rnacentral:tRNA from 1 species
GGAGUUAUAGCUCAAUUGGUUAGAGCGCCGCCCUGUCACGGCGGAGGUUGCGGGUUCGAGCCCCGUUAACUCCG